AUUCGCGUUGUUAUUUCAUUGCCGCAGAGUCCAGCUCGAAUCGGGAGAAAGUUUUCUAGGUGUUGUUUCUGUUAUUAUUUUCGGAAGCAUUUUUCAGUGUUUUGGUGAAAUUGAUCGUUUGGUGUUGAGCUCUGAUCUCGAAAGGUUUAUGCUUUUCUUGUGUUUGGGGGGUGUCUAGUAAUAGACAAAGCGAGGAUAACGAUGUCUCCAAUCUGGAUAUCGCUGUCUCUACUGGCUUUAUCUCUAUCCUGGCGCUUCAAAAUCAAGCAUUAGAGAAUACAAAAGUCGAAGUUUUAAAGUGGUCUGGUGCCCAUUUAUUGUUCUUUCUGGUGGUAAAGGAGGAUAAUCUAUAUGGGUUUGCUUUAAAUUCUGUGGGCACUGUAAUUUGUGGUCGUAAGUUCUGAGUGAAGUUCCCCUCGUGUCGAUU
rnacentral:misc_RNA from 1 species